rnacentral:tRNA from 1 species
GGCUGGGGCUCAGUGGCAGAGUGCUUGCCUAGCAUGUGUGAGGCACUGGGUUCGAUUCUCAGCACCA